rnacentral:rRNA from 1 species
AGUGAACGCUGGCGGUAGGCCUAACACAUGCAAGUCGAACGGCAGCACAGUAAGAGCUUGCCCUUACGGGUGGCGAGUGGCGGACGGGUGAGGAAUACAUCGGAAUCUACUUUUUCGUGGGGGAUAACGUAGGGAAACUUACGCUAAUAUCGCAUACGACCUACGGGUGAAAGCAGGGGAUCUUCGGACCUUGCGCGAUUGAAUGAGCCGAUGUCGGAUUAGCUAGUUGGCGGGGUAAAGGCCCACCAAGGCGACGAUCCGUAGCUGGUCUGAGAGGAUGAUCAGCCACACUGGAACUGAGACACGGUCCAGACUCCUACGGGAGGCAGCAGUGGGGAAUAUUGGACAAUGGGCGCAAGCCUGAUCCAGCCAUACCGCGUGGGCGAAGAAGGCCUCCGGGUUGUAAAGCCCUUUUGUUGGGAAAGAAAAGCAGCAGGUUAAUACCCCGCUGUUCCGACGGUACCCAAAGAAUAAGCACCGGCUAACUUCGUG